rnacentral:tRNA from 1 species
GAGGGUAUAGCUUAGUGUUAGAGCCUGUGCUUAGCAUGUACAAGGUCCUGGGUUCAAUCCCCAGCACUUCCA